rnacentral:rRNA from 1 species
ACUCAAAGGAAUUGACGGGGGCCCGCACAAGCGGCGGAGCAUGUUGCUUAAUUCGACGCAACGCGAAGAACCUUACCAAGGCUUGACAUCGCCCGGACGGCCCCGGAGACGGGGUGUUCCUUUGGAUCGGGUGACAGGUGGUGCAUGGCUGUCGUCAGCUCGUGUCGUGAGAUGUUGGGUUAAGUCCCGCAACGAGCGCAACCCUUGUUCCAUGUUGCCAGCGCGCCCUUCGGGGUGGUGGGGACUCAUGGGAGACUGCCGGGGUCAACUCGGAGGAAGGUGGGGAUGACGUCAAGUCAUCAUGCCCCUUAUGCCUUGGGCUGCAAACAUGCUACAAUGGCCGGUACAGAGGGUGGCGAUGCCGCAAGGCGGAGCGAAUCCCGAAAAGCCGGUCUCAGUUCGGAUUGGGGUCUGCAACUCGACCCCAUGAAGUCGGAGUCGCUAGUAAUCGCAGAUCAGCAAUGCUGCGGUGAAUACGUUCCCGGGCCUUGUACACACCGCCCGU